AGUUGGUCUGAGCGCAGUAGUGUUUACAACUAAUUGAUCACAACCAGUUACAGAUUCCUUUGUUUCUUCUCCACUCCCACUGCUCCACUUGACCAGCCUUUU
ensembl:misc_RNA Y_RNA Y RNA